UGGGGAAUUUUGGACAAUGGGGGAAACCCUGAUCCAGCCAUCCCGCGUGUGCGAUGAAGGCCUUCGGGUUGUAAAGCACUUUUGGCAAGAAAGAAACGUCAUGGGUUAAUACCCCGUGAAACUGACGGUACCUGCAGAAUAAGCACCGGCUAACUACGUGCCAGCAGCCGCGGUAAUACGUAGGGUGCAAGCGUUAAUCGGAAUUACUGGGCGUAAAGCGUGCGCAGGCGGUUCGGAAAGAAAGAUGUGAAAUCCCAGAGCUCAACUUUGGAACUGCAUUUUUAGCUACCGAGCUAGAGUGUGUCAGAGGGAGGUGGAAUUCCGCGUGUAGCAGUGAAAUGCGUAGAUAUGCGGAGGAACACCGAUGGCGAAGGCAGCCUCCUGGGAUAACACUGACGCUCAUGCACGAAAGCGUGGGGAGCAAACAGG
rnacentral:rRNA from 1 species